UACAGAGGGGGCAAGCGUUGUUCGGAAUUACUGGGCGUAAAGGGCGCGUAGGCGGCCUGCUAAGUCGAACGUGAAAUCCCCGGGCUCAACCCGGGAACUGCGUCCGAUACUGGUUGGCUUGAAUUCGGGAGAGGGAUGUAGAAUUCCAGGUGUAGCGGUGAAAUGCGUAGAUAUCUGGAGGAACACCGGUGGCGAAGGCGGCAUCCUGGACCGAUAUUGACGCUGAUGCGCGAAAGCCAGGGGAGCAAACGGG
rnacentral:rRNA from 1 species